rnacentral:rRNA from 1 species
CCUACGGGGGGCUGCAGUGGGGAAUAUUGGACAAUGGGCGAAAGCCUGAUCCAGCCAUGCCGCGUGUGUGAAGAAGGCCUUCGGGUUGUAAAGCACUUUCAGUGGGGAAGAAAGCCUUGGGGCUAAUACCCUCGAGGGAGGACAUCACCCACAGAAGAAGCACCGGCUAACUCCGUGCCAGCAGCCGCGGUAAUACGGAGGGUGCGAGCGUUAAUCGGAAUUACUGGGCGUAAAGCGCGCGUAAGCGGUCUGAUAAGCCGGUUGUGAAAGCCCCGGGCUCAACCUGGGAACGGCAUCCGGAACUGUCAGGCUAGAGUGCAGGAGAGGAAGGUAGAAUUCCCGGUGUAGCGGUGAAAUGCGUAGAGAUCGGGAGGAAUACCAGUGGCGAAGGCGGCCUUCUGGACUGACACUGACGCUGAGGUGCGAAAGCGUGGGUAGCAAACAGGAUUUAGAUACCCUAGUAGUC